rnacentral:rRNA from 1 species
ACUCGAGUGGCGAACGGGUGAGUAACACGUGGGUGAUCUGCCCUGCACUCUGGGAUAAGCCUGGGAAACUGGGUCUAAUACCGGAUAGGACCAUGCUUUAGUGUGUGUGGUGGAAAGUUUUUCGGUGUAGGAUGAGCCCGCGGCCUAUCAGUUUGUUGGUGGGGUAAUGGCCUACCAAGGCGGCGACGGGUAGCCGGACUGAGAGGUUGGUCGGCCACAUUGGGACUGAGAUACGGCCCAG